AAGUAAAAAGUCGUAACAAGGUUUCCGUAGGUGACCUGCGGAAGGAUCAUUAAAGAGUUAGGGUCUUCUAGGCCCGAUCUCCCAACCCUUUGUUUAUUGAACCUCUGUUGCUUCGGCGGACCCGUCUCACGGCCGCCGGAGGACCGCCGAAAGGCGUCCUCUGGCCAGCGUCCGCCGAUAGCCAACCACUUAAACUCUGAAUAAAUCGUGUCAUAUGUCUAAGUCUAUGAUUAAAUUAAAGCAAAACUUUCAACAACGGAUCUCUUGGUUCUGGCAUCGAUGAAGAACGCAGCGAAAUGCGAUAAGUAAUGCGAAUUGCAGAAUUCCAGUGAGUCAUCGAAUCUUUGAACGCACAUUGCGCCCUUUGGUAUUCCGAAGGGCAUGCCUGUUCGAGCGUCAUUAUCACCCCUCAAGCCCCGUGCUUGGUGUUGGACGGCUUGGUCGCGUCACCGCGACUCCUCCUAAAGACAAUGACGGCGGCCUGUGGUUCCCCCGGUACACUGAGCUUUUAAUUGAGCACGUAUUGGAUAAGGGCACCCGGGACCCGGUCUUCUCCCUUUACCGGGAAAUUUUCAAUGGUUGACCUCGGAUCAGGUAGGAAUACGCG
rnacentral:rRNA from 1 species